AUGAAUUCCUUGUAAUGGAAGAAUAUGAAAUUGCUAAUAUCGGGUGUUCUCUUCACAACAAAAAAAAAACAGAAAUAUUUGUAAUUCUAUGAAAUCAUAACCUAUGAUGCUAACAUCCAAAGAAAAGAGAAUCACCAAAUGCACUCCUAAAGGAAGAAUAUAACAUUCAACUAAUCUGUGCCAAAAAAAAGCAAGUCUCCUCGAAAAACCUCUGCAAAACUGAAGGUGGCACAAGCACACAACGAUGUCCAUUACUAAGAAAUAGGAUAUGACACUAGUCACACAGGAUAGCAGCUUAAAUAUUUUCGCACGUCUUAUAACAGCUAAAAGAUGGAGAUAGAACCAACACCAGGAUGAGAUACCAUAAAAGCCUGAUUCUAUUGUUGAUAAUGACCCUUGAUUAGUUGAGAGUUUGAAGUAUUUGCUGAGGUUGUAUAGUUGUUUGGCAAAAUAGUUGCUAAGUUUAGUCGAUCAGAUGCAUGUGAAAAGCUGUUUUAGCGGGCCAUUUGGUCAAGCUGAGUGAAUAUAAU
rnacentral:misc_RNA from 1 species